GGAACGGGUGGAUUUAUUAGAACAGAACCAACCGGUUGUGGCUUUUGUCGCAGCCGUUGUACUCUGUGAUGACUCUGGAUAACUUUACUGAUCGCAGUCGGCCUUGUGUCGGCGACGGAUCCUUCAAAUGUCUGCCCUAUCAAUUGUCGAUGGUAGGUGAUCUGCCUACCAUGGUGAUAACGGGUAACGGGGAAUCAGGGUUCGAUUCCGGAGAGGGAGCCUGAGAAACGGCUACCACUUCUAAGGAAGGCAGCAGGCACGCAAAUUACCCAAUCCCGGCACGGGGAGGUAGUGACGAUAAAUACGGAUACGG
rnacentral:rRNA from 1 species